CAAUGAUUUCCCUAGUAACGGCGAGUGAAGAGGAAAGAGCUCAAAGUUGGAAACUGUUUGGCUUAGCUAAACCGUAUUGUAAACUGUAGAAACAUUUUCCUGGCACACCAGAUUAAUAAGUCCUUUGGAACAAGGCAUCAUGGAGGGUGAGAAUCCCGUCUUUGAUCUGAGUAGUUGUCUUUUGUGAUAUGUUUUCAAAGAGUCAGGUUGUUUGGGAAUGCAGCCUAAAUUGGGUGGUAAAUCUCACCUAAAGCUAAAUAUUUGCGAGAGACCGAUAGCGAACAAGUACCGUGAGGGAAAGAUGAAAAGAACUUUGAAAAGAGAGUUAAACAGUAUGUGAAAUUGUUAAAAGGGAACCGUUUGGAGCCAGACUGGUUUGACUGUAAUCAACCUAGAAUUCGUUUUGGGUGCACUUGCAGUCUAUACCUGCCAACAACAGUUUGAUUUGGAGGACAAAAUUAAUAGGAAUGUAGCCUCUCGAGGUGUUAUAGACUAUUAUCAUACUCUGGAUUGGACUGAGGAACGCAGCGAAUGCCUUUAGGCAAGAUUGCUGGGUGCUUUCGCUAAUAAAUGUUAGAAUUUCUGCUUCGGGUGGUGCUAAUGUUUAAAGGAGGAACACAUCUAGUAUAUUUUUUAUUCGCUUAGGUUGUUGGCUUAAUGACUCUAAAUGACCCGUCUUGAAACACGGACCAAGGAGUCCACCAUAAGUGCAAGUAUUUGAGUGACAAACUCAUAUGCGUAAGGAAACUGAUUGAUACGAAGUCUUACGAUGGCAGUAUCACCCGGCGUUGACGUUUUAUACUGAACUGACCGAGGUAAAGCACUUAUGAUGGGACCCGAAAGAUGGUGAACUAUGCCUGAAUAGGGUGAAGCCAGAGGAAACUCUGGUGGAGGCUCGUAGCGAUUCUGACGUGCAAAUCGAUCGUCAAAUUUGGGUAUAGGGGCGAAAGACUAAU
rnacentral:rRNA from 1 species